AGUGGAUCACCAAGCCCAGCAGGAGGCUCUCGGUGGAGACGGGAGAAGCGGCUGUCAUUCCCUGAGAGGAGCAAGACCACCCGUAUCUCGCCGCCCCGCCACCUUUCCCGCGAUGCCCAGGGUGCCCCGCCAAGGCUUCUCACCGGGUCAGUGUUGAGCGCGGUGAGUGGGGUCCGCGGCGGCGCGACCGGACAAGCCCCGGCCGGGUGGAGAGGUGGCGCGGGCGGUGGCGGCUGUCUCAGCAAAGCAGGGGUUUCUUUUUAAAAGUCUACAUCUUUGUAAGACUUGCCAUGUUGAAGACAAAUGUCAAAGAGACUUGAUAUGAAAUCUGAAUGUUGCGGUGUGUAUAUCACCAAUGGAUCCCAAAUAUCCCUCACCUGUGAGAGUUUACUGUCCGUGGCCAAGCGGCUUUCACAAGAUGAACAUUCAGGAACAGUGCUUCACAGCCGAAAUACACGAGCUCUUCCAGAUUUUAGUCUACACUCUUCAAACAGUAGCAGCCCAGGAGUCUAACAUGUUCCCUUUUCCAUCUGAAAAGAAACUGAGUCUUCUUACUUACAACUACUGAUGUCAUAUAUUCUUGAUCUCUGUGUAUUUUUCUGCCUUGUCUCUAACAAUUAUUUCUUAUAAGCAUGAUUGGCCUCCAGGUUAAUUUCAGGGGGGGGGGGAAGCUUGUAGUGGGGUUGAGUGAUAUUUUCUGCAUUAACACUAAAGAUUAAAUGUGUGUGUGUGUCUAUGUUUGAGAACAUGUGUGUGCAUGUGUGUGCAUACAUGUGUAUGUGUGUGUUUGCACAUGAAGGCCAGAAGACUACCUCCCUUGUAAUUUUCAAACCACAAUUCACUUCUUUGGAGACAGGCUCUCUCAUUGCCUUGAAGCCUCCCAAUUAGGAUAAGCUGGCUGGCCAGCAAGCCCCAAGGGUCCCAGUCUCUUCCUCCCCAGUACUGGAAUUCCAAGCACACACCAACAUGCCUGGCAUUUCUACGUGGGUUUGAAUUUAGCUCAUCAUGCUUGUAAGAUGGACAUGUUAUCAAGUCAUCUAGCUCCAAGCCCAGAAUAUUAGUUGUUUAUUUGCUUUAAAUGCUAAGACAAACCCCAUGGAAUUGGAGAUCCCUACCAAAAAUUUGCUUCCUAAACAAAUUAAGUAAACAAUACUUUGCAGUUUUUAUCAUUAGUCCAAGAAAGCAUUCUUUUUCUCCCUCUUGACUUUUCCCUUGUUAAUUCAAUGAUUAGGUAUGGAGCACUGUUUAAAAGUAGGGUUUGUGUUCUGGCUUCUGAGCUUGUGAGAAUGCCUCAAUUCUUGAACGAAGUUUUGGGUUCAGGUGUCCUGAGCCCUUUCAGAACCCUUAAGACUUUGAAGGAGAUGUUUUCCUGUCUAGGCCAUGACUUUCUUUUUCUUUUUUUCUUUUUUCUUCCCUUCUUCCUUUGCUCCCUCCUUACACUCCUCUUUUUUAAGAGAAACUUUAAGAACAGUUUUCAAUUUACAGAGACAUUAGAAAGGGAAGAGAUUCCAUACACUCUAUACCUACGUGGCUCUGAUUGCCAACGUCAUUCUUUAGUGUGGUAUAUGUAAUUAGUAUCAAGGAGUUAACAUUAUUAGGAGCUGAAGUCUCUGCUUCAGUCAGACUCCCUUAGCUUCCCCCUAAUGUCCUUGCUCUGUCCCAGAGUCCCAUCUAGAAGCCCACAUUACAUUUAGUCUUCAUCUCUCCUUAACAUUCCUCUUACCUUAUGCCUUUCUCCAGAUUUCCCUUGGCAGUAUGAAAGAGUUUGGUUCUCCCUGAAAAAUAGACAGAAAUAAAGAACUUG
ensembl:lincRNA A330033J07Rik RIKEN cDNA A330033J07 gene